AAAAAUGCGAUGAACGGGAGGAGUAUCUGAUCUCCGGCACUACAGAGAGCUUUCAAAAGGUGAAAGAAGGCAGAAGGAAUCAGAGAAGGUAGCCCGGGAGCUCAAAAUGUGAACAAGAAGAUUUGAUAUUUUUCCUGAUGGAAAAAUAAACUGACUUUAUUAGCGUUUUGCGCAGGGACAGCGUUAUGUCAAAGAGGCAAAAGCCAGGAAGGAUACGGAUUCAAUUGAUAUUCAUUUUCAUUUCGCAAUGAAUUGAAGAGGAAUGGACAAAACUUCCUGAAGAAAUGGGGCUUUUGUAACGAAGGUGGUACCGCGAACUCAGUUCGUCCUUUGG
rnacentral:ncRNA from 1 species